CCAGGGGGCCGGGUGACCGCGACGGUCCGCUGUCGAGGAAAGUCCGGACUCCACCGGGCAGGGUGCCAGGUAACGCCUGGGCGGCGUGAGCCGACGGAAAGUGCAACAGAAACAUACCGCCCUUCUUUGGAAGGGCAAGGGUGAAAUGGUGCGGUAAGAGCGCACCGGCGUCCCGGUAACGGGGCGGCCGUGCAAACCCCACCCGGAGCAAGGCCAAAUAGGGGAGGAGGGCGCCCGGCCCGCUACCACUCCCGGGUUGGCUGCUAGAGCGCUGUAGCGAUGCGGCGUCGAGAGAGAUGGUCACCGUUCUUCCCCGGAAGGACACAGAAUCCGGCUUACAGGCCCGCUGGACCC
rnacentral:RNase_P_RNA from 1 species